rnacentral:misc_RNA from 1 species
CACGUAGGGGGCAAGCGUUGUCCGGAUUCAUUGGGCGUAAAGAGCUCGUAGGCGGUCUUUUAAGUCUGAUGUGAAAUCUCGGGGCUCAACCGGGGAGGGCCAUUGGAAACUGGGGGACUUGAGUGUAGGAGAGGAAAGUGGAAUUCCACGUGUAGCGGUGAAAUGCGUAGAUAUGUGGAGGAACACCAGUGGCGAAGGCGACUUUCUGGCCUAUAACUGACGCUGAGGCGCGAAAGCGUGGGGAGCAAACAGG